CUGGCGGCAUGCCUUACACAUGCAAGUCGAACGGCAGCACGGGAGCAAUCCUGGUGGCGAGUGGGCGAACGGGUGAGUAAUAUAUCGGAACGUGCCCAGUCGUGGGGGAUAACGUAGCGAAAGCUACGCUAAUACCGCAUACGAUCUAUGGAUGAAANCGGGGGAUCGCAAGACCUCGCGCGAUUGGAGCGGCCGAUAUCAGAUUAGGUAGUUGGUGAGGUAAAGGCUCACCAAGCCGACGAUCUGUAGCUGGUCUGAGAGGACGACCAGCCACACUGGGACUGAGACACGGCCCAGACUCCUACGGGAGGCAGCAGUGGGGAAUUUUGGACAAUGGGCGCAAGCCUGAUCCAGCAAUGCCGCGUGCAGGAUGAAGGCCUUCGGGUUGUAAACUGCUUUUGUACGGAACGAAACGGUGAGCUCUAAUACAGUUUGCUAAUGACGGUACCGUAAGAAUAAGCACCGGCUAACUACGUG
rnacentral:rRNA from 1 species